UAGAAUCAAAUUUCAAUUAA
rnacentral:rRNA from 1 species